rnacentral:rRNA from 1 species
UACGAAGGGGGCUAGCGUUGUUCGGAUUUACUGGGCGUAAAGCGCACGUAGGCGGGUUGUUAAGUCAGGGGUGAAAUCCUGGAGCUCAACUCCAGAACUGCCUUUGAUACUGGCAACCUGGAGGCUGGAAGAGGUUAGUGGAAUUCCCAGUGUAGAGGUGAAAUUCGUAGAUAUUGGGAAGAACACCAGUGGCGAAGGCGGCUAACUGGUCCAGAUCUGACGCUGAGGUGCGAAAGCGUGGGGAGCAAACAGG